rnacentral:RNase_P_RNA from 1 species
UCGGUCGUCCGGGCAGUCGCUGCGCUCUUGGGCGCGGAGGAAAGUCCGGUCUCCGCAGGGCAGCGUGCCGGCUAACGGCCGGGAGGCGCUCUCGAAAUGGGGCGUCGACGGAAAGUGCCACAGAAAUGAUACCGCCCCGCUUUGCGGGGUAAGGGUGAAAUGGUGCGGUAAGAGCGCACCGCGUCUCGGGUAACCGGGACGGCAGGGCAAACCCCACGCGGAGCAAGACCAAAUAGAGGGCGAUGCGAUGGCCCGUCGCGCCUGAGUCCCGGGUAGGUCGCUGGAGGCGUUUGGUGACAGGCGCUCGAGAUGAAUGGCUGCCGCCCGUCCUCGGACGGGAACAGAAACCGGCUUACAGGGCGGCCGGCCCU